GGCAACCUGCCGGGUUAAUGCCCUCCUCCCAGCCAAUCAGAAUCAAGCAUUCUUAAAUGAAGUAGUUUAAGCCACUACAUUGUCCGAUGUCGCCCCCUGUUGGAAGAAAGAACCGGCUGGCCGCACGCAGAUCCUGACAAAGAGAUACCCGGUCCCUUACCCGACCUAGUUGUAGGCCUAUCUGUGGUUUCAGGGUCUCCACAAACCUGUUAGGAACCCCACCCAAACUCCCUGUUCUGAAUCCCCAGCUCCACACCCUCCAAACUCCAUGUGGUUCAGCCCGAGUGUUUUAUUCACGGUGUCGGAGGCCUGACGGAGAGGUCCAUUACAGAGGCAGUGAGGCUCAUUGCUGGAGUGGUGUUGUCUCUACGGGAUAAAUCAUCUGUAGGCCUACGUGACAAAGGCCCACCAUAGACACAAGUUAAACGAGCUUGCGUUCUGGAGAUGGCUCAUGAAGAAUCUCUCAAACACAGCUCCUUAUGUGAAUCCUCUGAUCCAUUUCCUGCCCGGCUGCCCUUCAGUAAGAAGAAGCGUGUGGAGUGUAAGGCCUGGAUUACCAACUUCACGAUGAAGAACACAACCCGUCCGGGAGUAACUGUACAGCCAGGCCUCCUACAACUACUUGGUCGACAAGGAGCUGACCAGUGUAACGAGAGGUCCAU